rnacentral:rRNA from 1 species
CACUAUCGUUAACUGAAUACAUAGGUUAACGAGGCGAACCGGGGGAACUGAAACAUCUAAGUACCCCGAGGAAAAGAAAUCAACCGAGAUUCCCCCAGUAGCGGCGAGCGAACGGGGAGCAGCCCAGAGUCUGAAUCAGCUUGUGUGUUAGUGGAACGGUCUGGAAAGUCCGACGGUACAGGGUGAUAGUCCCGUACACCAAAAUGCACAGGCUGUGAACUCGAAGAGUAGGGCGGGACACGUGGUAUCCUGUCUGAAUAUGGGGGGACCAUCCUCCAAGGCUAAAUACUCCUGACUGACCGAUAGUGAACCAGUACCGUGAGGGAAAGGCGAAAAGAACCCCGGCGAGGGGAGUGAAAAAGAACCUGAAACCGUGUACGUACAAGCAGUGGGAGCACCUUCGGGUGUGACUGCGUACCUUUUGUAUAAUGGGUCAGCGACUUAUAUUCUGUAGCAAGGUUAACCGUAUAGGGGAGCCGCAGGGAAACCGAGUCUUAACUGGGCGUUAAGUUGCAGGGUAUAGACCCGAAACCCGGUGAUCUAGCCAUGGGCAGGUUGAAGGUUGGGUAACACUAACUGGAGGACCGAACCGACUAAUGUUGAAAAAUUAGCGGAUGACUUGUGGCUGGGGGUGAAAGGCCAAUCAAACCGGGAGAUAGCUGGUUCUCCCCGAAAGCUAUUUAGGUAGCGCCUCGUGAAUUCAUCUUCGGGGGUAGAGCACUGUUUCGGCUAGGGGGUCAUCCCGACUUACCAACCCGAUGCAAACUACGAAUACCGAAGAAUGUUAUCACGGGAGACACACGGCGGGUGCUAACGUCCGUCGUGAAGAGGGAAACAACCCAGACCGCCAGCUAAGGUCCCAAAGUCAUGGUUAAGUGGGAAACGAUGUGGGAAGGCACAGACAGCCAGGAUGUUGGCUUAGAAGCAGCCAUCAUUUAAAGAAAGCGUAAUAGCUCACUGGUCGAGUCGGCCUGCGCGGAAGAUGUAACGGGGCUAAACCAUGCACCGAAGCUGCGGCAGCGACACUAUGUGUUGUUGGGUAGGGGAGCGUUCUGUAAGCCUGCGAAGGUGACCUGUGAGGGUUGCUGGAGGUAUCAGAAGUGCGAAUGCUGACAUAAGUAACGAUAAAGCGGGUGAAAAGCCCGCUCGCCGGAAGACCAAGGGUUCCUGUCCAACGUUAAUCGGGGCAGGGUGAGUCGACCCCUAAGGCGAGGCCGAAAGGCGUAGUCGAUGGGAAACAGGUUAAUAUUCCUGUACUUGGUGUUACUGCGAAGGGGGGACGGAGAAGGCUAUGUUAGCCGGGCGACGGUUGUCCCGGUUUAAGCAUGUAGGCUGGUUAUCCAGGCAAAUCCGGAUAAUCAAGGCUGAGGUGUGAUGACGAGGCACUACGGUGCUGAAGUAACAAAUGCCCUGCUUCCAGGAAAAGCCUCUAAGCAUCAGGUAACAUUAAAUCGUACCCCAAACCGACACAGGUGGUCAGGUAGAGAAUACCAAGGCGCUUGAGAGAACUCGGGUGAAGGAACUAGGCAAAAUGGUGCCGUAACUUCGGGAGAAGGCACGCUGGUGUGUAGGUGAAGCCCCUGCGGGUGGAGCUGAGACCAGUCGAAGAUACCAGCUGGCUGCAACUGUUUAUUAAAAACACAGCACUGUGCAAACACGAAAGUGGACGUAUACGGUGUGACGCCUGCCCGGUGCCGGAAGGUUAAUUGAUGGGGUUAUCCGUAAGGAGAAGCUCUUGAUCGAAGCCCCGGUAAACGGCGGCCGUAACUAUAACGGUCCUAAGGUAGCGAAAUUCCUUGUCGGGUAAGUUCCGACCUGCACGAAUGGCGUAAUGAUGGCCAGGCUGUCUCCACCCGAGACUCAGUGAAAUUGAACUCGCUGUGAAGAUGCAGUGUACCCGCGGCAAGACGGAAAGACCCCGUGAACCUUUACUAUAGCUUGACACUGAACAUUGAGCCUUGAUGUGUAGGAUAGGUGGGAGGCUUUGAAGCGUGGACGCCAGUCUGCGUGGAGCCAACCUUGAAAUACCACCCUUUAAUGUUUGAUGUUCUAACGUUGGCCCCUGACCGGGGUUGCGGACAGUGUCUGGUGGGUAGUUUGACUGGGGCGGUCUCCUCCCAAAGCGUAACGGAGGAGCACGAAGGUUAGCUAAUCCUGGUCGGACAUCAGGAGGUUAGUGCAAUGGCAUAAGCUAGCUUGACUGCGAGCGUGACGGCGCGAGCAGGUGCGAAAGCAGGUCAUAGUGAUCCGGUGGUUCUGAAUGGAAGGGCCAUCGCUCAACGGAUAAAAGGUACUCCGGGGAUAACAGGCUGAUACCGCCCAAGAGUUCAUAUCGACGGCGGUGUUUGGCACCUCGAUGUCGGCUCAUCACAUCCUGGGGCUGAAGUAGGUCCCAAGGGUAUGGCUGUUCGCCAUUUAAAGUGGUACGCGAGCUGGGUUUAGAACGUCGUGAGACAGUUCGGUCCCUAUCUGCCGUGGGCGCUGGAGAAUUGAGGGGGGCUGCUCCUAGUACGAGAGGACCGGAGUGGACGCAUCACUGGUGUUCGGGUUGUCAUGCCAAUGGCACUGCCCGGUAGCUAAAUGCGGAAGAGAUAAGUGCUGAAAGCAUCUAAGCACGAAACUUGCCCCGAGAUGAGUUCUCCCUGAGACUUUAAGUCUCCUGAAGGAACGUUGAAGACGACGACGUUGAUAGGCCGGGUGUGUAAGCGCAGCGAUGCGUUGAGCUAACCGGUACUAAUGAACCGUGAGGCUUAACCUU